rnacentral:rRNA from 1 species
AUCUGGCUCAGGAUGAACGCUAGCUACAGGCUUAACACAUGCAAGUCGAGGGGCAGCGGGAAGUCAGCUUGCUGACUUUGCCGGCGACCGGCGCACGGGUGAGUAACACGUAUCCAACCUUCCCGUUACUCUGGAAUAGCCUUUCGAAAGAAAGAUUAAUACCGGAUAGUAUCGAGAGAUUGCAUGAUUACCCGAUUAAAGAUUCAUCGGUAACGGAUGGGGAUGCGUUCCAUUAGGCAG